rnacentral:rRNA from 1 species
ACGUACACUCCUACGGGAGGCAGCAGUGGGGAAUAUUGCACAAUGGGCGCAAGCCUGAUGCAGCGACGCCGCGUGGGGGAUGAAGGCCUUCGGGUUGUAAACUCCUUUCGCUAGGGACGAAGCUUUUUUGUGACGGUACCUAGAUAAGAAGCACCGGCUAACUACGUGCCAGCAGCCGCGGUAAUACGUAGGGUGCGAGCGUUGUCCGGAAUUACUGGGCGUAAAGGACUCGUAGGUGGUUUGUCGCGUCGUCUGUGAAAUUCUGGGGCUUAACUCCGGGCGUGCAGGCGAUACGGGCAUAACUUGAGUGCUGUAGGGGUAACUGGAAUUCCUGGUGUAGCGGUGAAAUGCGCAGAUAUCAGGAGGAACACCGAUGGCGAAGGCAGGUUACUGGGCAGUUACUGACGCUGAGGAGCGAAAGCAUGGGUAGCGAACAGGAUUAGAAACCCUUGUAGUCCCAUG